GAUGGACGCUGGCGGCGUGCCUAAUACAUGCAAGUCGAGCGAACGGACGAGGAGCUUGCUUCUCUGAUGUUAGCGGCGGACGGGUGAGUAACACGUGGAUAACCUACCUAUAAGACUGGGAUAACUUCGGGAAACCGGAGCUAAUACCGGAUAAUAUUUUGAACCGCAUGGUUCAAAAGUAAAAGACGGUCUUGCUGUCACUUAUAGAUGGAUCCGCGCUGCAUUAGCUAGUUGGUAAGGUAACGGCUUACCAAGGCAACGAUGCAUAGCCGACCUGAGAGGGUGAUCGGCCACACUGGAACUGAGACACGGUCCAGACUCCUACGGGAGGCAGCAGUAGGGAAUCUUCCGCAAUGGGCGAAAGCCUGACGGAGCAACGCCGCGUGAGUGAUGAAGGUCUUCGGAUCGUAAAACUCUGUUAUUAGGGAAGAACAUAUGUGUAAGUAACUGUGCACAUCUUGACGGUACCUAAUCAGAAAGCCACGGCUAACUACGUG
rnacentral:rRNA from 1 species